rnacentral:lncRNA from 1 species
CUGGCGGAUAUUCCCUUCCAUAAUUCUGUUCGUAUUCAUACGAAACUAAAUGGAUGCAUAACCUCGAGCAGGGACUUUUCUAUUAGUAUAGACAGUCCCUGCCUCGAGACAUAAAACAAAUGUCUCUUGCAAAUUAUGUCGUAUAUUCUGAUAAAUUCGUAUUACUUGGGAUCAAGCAUAAAACAGGUUUAUCUUUUUUCUUGAAAUUUACAGUCGACUACAAACUAUGAGCAACAGACCAACGAUAUACUGUAUAUAUCUCUGACAUAUCUACUUCAAAUUUUAGAAAAGAAUAUUAACAUAAUCUAUAAUCAUCACAUCAGAUUCCCGACUUAAGACAGGUGCAAACAAUUGCAGCGGGUUUAAACUUUGUAGUGGUACCAAACCUUCACCCUUAUCUGAAACAAUAGUGUUUACAUCACAACAUUGAAAGCCACACUAUAAAUAUGUAUUGAAAUGGCUUAAUUCUAACUCAAUCAAAAGACAUAUUAAUACAAGUGAGCAUACACUGAAUGAUGUUUUU